rnacentral:rRNA from 1 species
CCUGAGAAACCCAAAAGAUCGAAUGGGGAGAUUCAUCGUCAGCGAUUUUGGUACGUGUGCGGUUCGCGAUGCCGGAGACUUCGGUCGCCAGGCACUCGUCCGCAUGUUUUUUAUUGCCUCAAUCGUCGGCGUGCACUUCUCCCCUAGUAGGACGUCGCGACCCGUUGGGUGUCGGUCUACGGCCCGGGCGGUAGCCUGUCUCGUGUACGCCUCGCGGCGUUACGCGGUUCAGACCCCCGGUUGCCCGACCGGCUGCUCGGCGGUACUCGCACGGUAUCUGGCCGCAAAUAUUCGAACUGCGUCCGGCCCGUCGCAAGCGAGGCAAGUGCUUCCCGGUUGUACGGAUCUAAUGCCGUCACCGGGCCUUGCCGGCUGUUGGUUGACGGUGUCCUAGGACUGGCUAAUACAAUUAUGAUACCGGUCGGCGACGCUACUGCUUUGGGUACUUUCAGGA